GUUGGUGAACCAGCGGAGGGAUCAUUACCGAGUACUAUAACUCAUAACCCUUUGUGAACCUUUAUACCUGUUGCUUCGGCGGCGCGCCCUCCGGGGCGUGCCCGCCGGUAUCAUCAGAAUCUCUGUUUGAACCCGACGAUACAUCUGAGUGUUCUAAGCGAACUGUUAAAACUUUCAACAACGGAUCUCUUGGCUCCA
rnacentral:misc_RNA from 1 species